rnacentral:lncRNA from 15 species
CUUUUCUUUUUUUAAACCAAUGCUUUCUCCUGCUUCUUUCUGCCUUUAAGAAAUUAAAUAAAUAUAGGGAAGACUAGGUAUCUAGAAUAGGUGCCUGAUAUCAGUAAAUCCCCACAAGUUACAGUCACAAUACAUCAUUCCCUCUCCUCACUUGAAACUAGGGUCAAGGGGUCAACCAGGUCAGGUUCAAAGGCUUACUUAGAGACUAGGUGAGAAUUGGCCUUUUACAAGUGGACAUUGUAAAACAACAGGGGGUGCCGAGGGGCCUUCACUUCUCACCUCCUGGCUUCCUGAUUAAAACAACAGGGGGGCUCUUAUCUCCUGCGAGAACUUGGGGGUUUGACCGGACUGAGAGAGGGCCGAACUGGUAGGUGUGUCUCCCCCAAGAGGGGUUUCAAAAAAAAGGCAAAAAACAGACAGUCAAUUCAUUCAAGCAUUUUAUUUGGACAGAAUGGAAGGCAGAAAAGCAAAGCGAAAAACCAGACAUGUCACUUCAUUAGGGGACUACGACUGCACAUCCUCCUCAUCCUCCUCCUCCUCAGCCUCCUCAUCCUCCUCGUCAUCCUCCUCCUCCUCCAGCUCCUCUCCUCGACAGCUUCAGGCAGCAGAGCCAGUGGCGGGGACCAGCAAGCCCACCCGUUGCACUGUCUACAGGCGCAAAAUUAAAGCGGCAAAGGACAAAAAAGUCCUCCAAAGUAGCAGGGGAAAGCCACAGCACAAACCUGGUGACCCCUGCAACAUCCGUGGCCAAGCAUGCACGGUGGAUGGUGGCCACACUUACCUCAAGGGCCAAUACUUUUGUGCUGUGGAAGAGGGCCCUGGAGGACGCACAGUGCAAGAGUAGAUCAGGGAACAGCUUGGCCCUGGUGAGCUACAGAAGCUCCCCAGAACAACAGCCUGGAACCUCAAACAGAGGCAUGAGAAACCAGAGAAACCAGGUGGGAAAGUGAGGAAGCCCCACAAACUGCGGAUCUGCCAACUCUGUGGCCAGCCACAGCAGAAAGACUUUGGCCACAGCCAAUAUGGGGGAGAGCACUUCUGUGCUUUCUAUGAAGGGAAGACUGUGGAGCUGUGGCUGGCUGAGAAGAGGUCAAAAAAACAUUAAAAUUAUCCAACUGUACUGUAUCAUCCAAGCACCUUAUAUGUUUCAUCUGUUCAUUGCACCUUAUAUUUUUUAUUUUUACUUUGGACUGCAUUAUACUGGUUAUUUAUACAUUUUUUAUAUUGCAUUCUAUAUUGCUUUUUUUGAUUGUGUGUGUGUGUGUGUGUGUGUGUGUGUGUGUGUGUGUGUGUUUGUUGUUACUGUGUGUAAUGCUGCUUCUACACUGCAAUUUCCCUGCUUAUGUUAUACAUUUUUAACCUUUCUAAUAAACAUUUAAUUGAUUAAAUCCUUGUCUUCUCUAUUUAAAUAUUUUUUAACUUAACUUUUUAAACCUGGAGCCAUUCAUGAGGCCAAAACCAUUCAAAUAUUAAUGUAC